UUGACUCAACUCCUUUGAGUUGACUUGUGAAUUAAAUCUCACUAUUUAAUUCUUCCUUUUAGUGAAGAUCAAUUAUGAUUGAACUUUUCAGGACGUCCACAAACCAUGGUUGACACCUAGUAGCAUAUCAUGGUUAUCCGAGCUAAAUAGGGUGUUGGGAAUAACCUAUUCAAAUUGGAAUGACCGUGCAAUUGAUUUCUUUUCUUAUACAAUACACCUUAUGUUCACCCGUUUUGUUUUUACUCCUGUGAUGGAAGGGCAGCGUUCACCAUUGCCUUGAAAACCAUUGACUGGUCAGCAAGCCAACUUUCUUU
rnacentral:lncRNA from 1 species